rnacentral:rRNA from 1 species
GUAGGUGGCAAGCGUUGUCCGGAAUUAUUGGGCGUAAAGCGCGCGCAGGCGGGUCCUUUAAGUCUGAUGUGAAAGCCCACGGGCUCAACCGUGGAGGGUCAUUGGAAACUGGGGGACUUGAGUACAGAAGAGGAAAGCGGAAGUCCAAGUGUAGCGGUGAAAUGCGUAGAGAUUUGGAGGAACACCAGUGGCGAAGGCGGCUUUCUGGUCUGUAACUGACGCUGAGGCGCGAAAGCGUGGGGAGCAAACAGGAUUAGAUACCCUGGUAGUCCACGCCGUAAACGAUGAGUGCUAAGUGUUAGGGGGUUUCCGCCCCUUAGUGCUGCAGCUAACGCAUUAAGCACUCCGCCUGGGGAGUACGGCCGCAAAGGCUG